CCGCACACGUGACCCAGCCGGCCCAGGACGCCGCCCCGGCGCCCCCUGCACCCCACCCAACCCCGGUGUCCACGAAGACUGGCCGGGCGCCGUCGGGGCGCUUCCCACGCGGCGAGUCUGCAUCUCCGAGUCCGGGUCUCGGGCUGGGCGAGCCUGGGCCCUGACGUGGCCUCUCUGAGCUCCUGUUUUAUCCUCUGCAAUUGCAGGUAGCGACAGACACCGGCCCACUUGCGGGGGGCAUCCGGAAUCAGCAUGCAGGUGUCACUGUGUCCCCAGGAGCGUCACGGAGGAGACACAGCUACAGGAACACAAACGGCGUGAUUGAGCACUACGGAGAAGUUUGGAAAAUGUGUUACAGUAAAACACGCUGCUGUGAAUCGCUUCAGUCUUCCCCUCUCUUCCCACCGUCCCGGCCACUUCCUGCAGCAGCUCUAGAGUCCUCCUUCCUGAGGGUCUUCGCCUGUGCUGACCUGGCAGCCUCCAUGCCCUGAGUUGAUAAGGCACUGACCUUUCAAGGUCGUUGUGACCUUCGGGGAGAGCUGGAAGUCACGGGGCCUCAAAUCAGGGGAUGAAGGUGGAUGAGGACACAGCAUCAGGGCUGGGCAGCACUCAGCAGCAGCUGUCAUCGUAUUUUGAUCACAUCUCAUAAAGACGCUCAGGAGAGAGGACUCCGGAGCUGCUGCAGGAAGUGGCCGGGACGGUGGGAGGCAUGUGUUUGAAGUGAGGGCCGGAUCUCUAGGGGUUCGUGGGCACACGGUACCUUUAAUUACUGUAGUUUCCGAUCUGAACCCUCAGUUCACACCUUGGUCACCCACAUAACUGAGGCAGGUUUGCUCUGAGCUCGGGGCAGUGCAGGGGCCACGACCUGAGAUGGCUCCUGGGCGGGAAUCAGUAGAAUCUGCCACCUUCAGGAGCGGACCCAGGACCCGAGGACCCCACAGCCACCAGUUCCAGAGAGCAGGACCGGGGCGAGGGCCCACGAGGUGGUCUGCAGCCAGAAGGCGGGACAGCCGGCCUGGGAGCCCGAGCCCUGGUCCCUGACGGGCGGUGACCCUCAGAGCUCCUCUCCCGCUGGCCCUGGGCCUGGGGGCAUCAGCCCCGCUCCCUGCUCCUCCGUGUUCUGCCCAAGCCCCUCACCCCCGCACUGCCCUCCCGCGGCCCUGCCACUGCCCUGCCGCCCGCCGGCCCAGGCUCCUGCACACCCCGCGUGGCCCGGCCACCCAGCCCACAGGGAUGGCGGGAAUGCAGGUCCGGUCCAUGGCCCCAAGGCUGGCCACUGCGCCGCCUGCUGCCCUCCGCUGCCCUGUGGCCUCUCGGGUCCGGCUGCGUGACCUCCUGACAGGCCCUGCGGCCUCUCUGGACAAACUCCUUCCCACCUGGCAUCAGGCCUUGGCGGUCCCUUCCCCGAAGAGCCUGACUGGGAGGCCUGGCACCUCCCCCCCCACUCCCGCCCUGGAACUCUGCCACCCCGGGGGCUCACUUCCCAGAGCCGCCUGCCCACUGCCCCAGCGCCUCCCGUAACGCCUAGCGCGCUGUGAAAGGCCCGUUUCUAACACCUGCCUCCCAGACUGGGGUUUUGUCUUCUUUCUCUCAAAACAGUGCUUGUCACAAGUCUCCAGCAGCCACACAUGUACUUAUGAAGAUCUCAGAGCGCAUGCUAACUCGCUGGAGCAAGGAGAACACAGUCACAGCUUUGGACAUAGCUGUUUUUCUUCUUCUUGAGACAAAGCCUUCGCUAUGUGACCCACGCUGGCCUUAAACUCACAGCGAUCCUCCUGCCUUAGCCUCCCAAGUGCUGGGGUGACAAGCAUGUGCCACCACACCUGGCUAGGAUCUUGAGACGUUUAUAUUUCAGUUCCCAUGGGUCAGGAAAGCGUCAGCUAAGCCGGGCUCUGGGCUCUGCAGCAGGUCAGGGGUGCAGGUCCCCCAGCUCGCAGGGAGGGAGCGGGGUGUGCUGUGCCCUCAGGCUGCAGGCUGGAGGCCUCACCCAGCCUCUCUGCAAGUCAGCUCCGAGCUGAGCUGCUUGAUCAGCAGGAGGCCGGAGAGCAGGCGGCCGGCUUCUCUCCCUGUCACCAUGGAGACCACGGGUGCCAUCCACGCUACACCCCAGGCUCGCUGGGCAGGGACCUGUCCCUCACCGUGGGGUUUCCCACGGCAUUCUGCACGUGGCUGCAGGAACAAGCAGUGCGGAGGCGGAAGUGGCCUUGGUCUACACCAGAACCAGGGGGUGCUGCCUGCUCCCAGCCUGGCCUCAGGAAGCCGUGCACUCGCGAGGGCUUCAGUUCUUCCCUUGUGAAGGGAGCAGACUCUUGCCUGUUGUCCUGAGAGUAACUGAAGCCAACCGUGGUGGUGGGGGCCUGUCACCCCAGCACUCUGGGAGGCUGAGGCAGGACGAUCGCAAGUUUGAGCCCAGCCUUGGCAAUUUAGUGAGCCCCUGUCUAAAAUAAAAUAAAAAUAGAAAAGCUGGGGCUGGAGCUCAGCACAAAGGCCAUGGGUUUGAUCCCCAGUACAGGGCAGGGGCCGACUGAAAAAGCAUGUUUGAAGCACUUAGUGCACAAUACCAACUCAGUAUGUGUGAGCCAUUCCUACAGCACCCUCUCCUCCCACUCCUCCUCGCUAACCCGAGGGCAGGGACUUUGCCCACGCAGGGCUCAGCCCGCAGAAGAAAUGCAUUAACACAGGUGGAAUUGGUCACCGCGGCACAGACCUGGGCAGACAGCGCCACCUGCUGGCCAAGGCUGAAGUUCGGGGCCAGGAACGGCGCCUUGACCCGGCUGCCCGCACAGGUUGCCCGUGUCCACAUCCGCCAGUCACAGUAAAAAGGGCAGAUUCCUGAUUGCUUUUGUGGUACUUGGGAUUUGCACUGAGCUAUAUCCCUAGGCCUUUAAAAAAUGUUUUUGAGACAAGGUCUCACUAAGUUGCCUGGUUGGGCUCGAUCCUCCUGCCUCAGCCUCCUGGGGCUGGGAUGACAGGCGCACACCACCAUGCCCAGGUGAGCUGUCAUUUAUUGAGCAACGGGUGGAGCCACUUUUCUAGAUGUUCUAGUUAAUUAUCACAACCACCCAAGGAGGCAGGGACCUUGACAGCAACUUCACAGAUGGGGAAACUGAGGUACAGAGCAGUCGAACGCCUCACCCAAGAUCACACGGCUGGAAAAUCUCACGUGAGACACAAGUCCAAUCACCUGGCUUGCACCUGCACUGUGAGCCCGGAACUCACCGCCUCUGUCGUCCGCUUCAUCUGGUCAGUCCCCCGACACCUGGGGGCCCGUGUCUCCAGGUGCCACGGGGCGACCCCCAGGGGGAGCUGCAGGCCCGGGAGACCGUGCCCCGGCCGUCCUGGCCACCGCUCUUCUGCGGCCCGGGCAGUGCCCAGGGGUGGGUCGCCUGGGCGCUGGCUGCAGUGACAGGGGCCUGGGUGGCUGCGUGACCGCGGGCCCCUCCCCAACACACACCUCAGCAUCCCAGUGUGGGCCAAACAGCGAAGGCGCAGGCCGCGCUUCAGUGGGACCCUCACAAACACCCCUCGAUUCCAACACUGCUCCCCCCGUCCGCCACUUCCCGCAGCAGCUCUGGAGGCCUCUUUCCUGAGGGUCUGUACCCGAGCGCCACCCAGCGCAAAGGCAGCCCCUAGAAACGCGACACCACGUCCUCACCCACCUUAGUCACUGAUCCGGCACCAAGGGAUUCUGGCUUCUCCCAGGGUCAGAGUGACCACGAGAGGGAAACUGAAUCCAUGCAGGGCGCGGAGGGCUCGGGGACAGCGCCGCUAUAGACCCUCAGGAGAGAGGACUCCAGCGCUACCGCAGGAAGCGGCGAGGGCCAUGGGAUGUGCUCAGUGCGGGGAGGGUUGGGAGGAACUAAGGCCAAUGUCUCAUCCUAUAAUAAACCUUUUAACAAUUUAA